rnacentral:rRNA from 1 species
UUCCAGACUCCUACGGGAGGCAGCAGUGGGGAAUAUUGCACAAUGGGGGAAACCCUGAUGCAGCGACGCCGCGUGAGUGAAGAAGUAUUUCGGUAUGUAAAGCUCUAUCAGCAGGGAAGAUAAUGACGGUACCUGACUAAGAAGCCCCGGCUAACUACGUGCCAGCAGCCGCGGUAAUACGUAGGGGGCAAGCGUUAUCCGGAUUUACUGGGUGUAAAGGGUGCGUAGGUGGCAUGGCAAGUCAGAAGUGAAAGCCCGGGGCUCAACCCCGCGGACUGCUUUUGAAACUGUCAGGCUGGAGUACAGGAGAGGUAAGCGGAAUUCCUAGUGUAGCGGUGAAAUGCGUAGAUAUUAGGAGGAACACCAGUGGCGAAGGCGGCUUACUGGACUGUAACUGACACUGAGGCACGAAAGCGUGGGGAGCAAACAGGAUUAGAUACCCCGGUA